rnacentral:lncRNA from 1 species
ACUUCUUAAAUAUACAUAUACAUAUACAUAUACUUUCUUGUUUCCUUUUAUUCUUGAAACAAAAAUCAGCUUUAUGAUAAAAGAAUCACAGUCAAUUAAUUUAUAUCGUUUAGGAUGAAAAAAACAUUUAUAUUAACCAGCGGGGUUAGCCUAGUGGUAUUUGAGGGAGCUUCGGUCCCGAUACGGUCCCGGGUUCGAUUCCCACUGGCCACACGGAUAUGAGCUAUGCUUUCGGCUCAUUUGAAUGCCCAGGAGAGGGUCUAUCCGUGGGCUGUACCUCCACCCGGGGGUUAGGUCUGUGUCUUUAAUAGACCCGGGUUUAACCCUUUUUUUUAUCAAAAAAAAAAAAAAAAAAAAAAACAUUUAUAUUUUCGUUUAAUGUUCCGAGUAUUGUCGUCAUUCUUGUACUAGGUUUGUGUUUAUGAUUUUGUAAUUCGCCUCAAUAGCCGAUCCAAGCAAGUUCAAGCCCUAUAAAAGCGAUUGACACGUUAUAAGCAAAAGAAAAAAAAUAAAAAAAAAAUAAUAAAUUCUUAAAGUUUAUACCCCGUUGAUGAUACGAGAUCCUUCCGCGACGACUUUCGGCCUCCCCGACUUGCUCGUGGCCGGAGGAGCAUCGAAACCCGACAGAAGACCAGCGAAGAAAUCAUCAAAGUUCGGAAUAGGGACCUCGCUCGUACCGCUUCCAUCGCCGAAAGCAAGGUCCGGAUCCCAUCCUGGGAGCAUGCAAUCGUCCACUGAAAACUCCAGGUCACCGAGGUCAAUAUCUCUCCCCUUCGAAGAGUUCAGCCCCGUCGCAAUCGUGGGAGCGGCGUCGGGACCUUGGUCUUCAGGUUCGGAAUCACUCCUUGCUCCUCCGCCCAAAGCAGGACUAGGAUGCACAAACCUCAGCGCCUUUCGAAUUCUCUUCGGCGUAAAGGAAGUCCAGAAAAAAGGACCAUUCUUGAGCAGAUCCCUCACCGCAAUAAUGUCUUCAGGAAACGGAGCAAGAGGAUUGAUAAAGGGACGAUCGUUCGGCAACCUCCGAAACAAUGGGAUACAACUCUCCUCAACGGACGCGACGUCUACACGAACGAAGAAGAAAAACUUCUUCCACGAGUAGAAGUUAGAAGUAAACCCCUUUACCAGUGACAUGAAGUUCCGAGGAACCAGCCUGUACGUGUCCGUAUCCUUGAUGAUCUGUAACCGAAGAAGCACUUCGAAGUGAUCGACGGUGAGGGGGAGACCAUGCUCGUAGCUCAGUAUCAGGAUUCCUAUGAGGUGAUGGACGCCAAGAGGAUUCAGUUGGCUUAUCGCCACCCCGAAACGACCCAACACACGGACGAUAAUCUCGGGGAUCGGGAACCACAAACGACAACACACUACGAAUGCCUCGUAACAAGUAAAGAAGCCCUCCGGGGGACUACUAGCGCAUUCUCCUUGACGAGGAACCCUGAAUUCCACCGCGUCCGAAAUAUGGUAGAACGACCUCAUGACCUCGAGAAAUUCAGUAGUACUCCUACUUGGUGCACCUGCCUUCACCGGGCGAUGGUUCAUGACCGGGAACGAUUUUUCUUUGGGAGGCGUGAUCGAACCGUAACUCGCCACCCACCAUGCCUCGUUCUCGGCUGGGUCUACCGAAUGAGAAACGAAUUCCAACUUCGGCACUCGAAGCUCUUCAGAAACGUUCGUGGGCAAAGACCCUUUCUUCAAACUCCUCUUCUUACUCGACAUCUCGUGUUUUUCUUUUUGAUCAAGGAGGAAAUGAUAGAGAGAAAGAAAAAGAAUAAAGAACUUUUCAAGAAAACCUCUCUAUGAGAAUGAGUAAGUGUAAAGAUUGUGAAGAAAUUACCUCCCUUCUUAUAGGCAUGAGAAAUUACUAUUUACUUGCGGAUUUUUGGACACGAACUUUGCCCAAAUACACCAAUCUCGUCCGAACUCGCCAUACCGCGCAUUGGGAUCUCACUAGAAAUCCACGCUCCCAACGAGCUGGGGGGCUAACUGUUGGGGUCAAAAACGGUUGCGACGAAGUUAACGUCCAAAUCCCCGAAGAAGAAAACGUAGAAACCUUCUUCGACAAAUAAUUUUUUGAAAUAGAUUCUUCUUUACGAAAAGAUGACAAUGGAGGAAGUCGACCUGGNNNNNNNNNNNNNNNNNNNNNNNNNNNNNNNNNNNNNNNNNNNNNNNNNNNNNNNNNNCCGUAAUAAACGCUUCGAGUCGGAAGACGGCCCAAAGGGACCUAAGACAUGACUCGAGGCCCAACUUACGAUUUCUUAACCAACAGCCCGUAAGCCGCAUGACGGUUUACGCUUGGUUCGCAAGGAAAGAUAAAUGUCAAGUUUCCGCGGAUAAAUACGAAAUUUUGAAGAUAAUUACGAAGACCGGAAAAAAUGGAAUAUCUCCAUUUUUAUGCUAUGGCGGCUUCAGGGCAGAAGGGGAAAAACGUAAACCGACCUUGGAGCCAGUAUAUAAGGAGUCCUAGGCGAGAGGCAUUGAGGAGAACUUUUACACAGCAAACUUAGCACUUAGAGCGAUUUUAGGCAAUUUUCCGUUUUUGUUAUUCGAGCUGCGACUCAAUUAGGUUUUUGCCGUCUUAGGGUUUUAGAACUAGGAAUCUCGCCGACAGCUCUCGUAGCCCAGGCACUUACCUUGUUGUAAACGCUCAAACGUAGAUUCGGAAUAAGAACUAUCUUGCUCUCUUUUUCGAUUUCUUAUUUUAUUAUUGUUCUCGUUUCGUGUUCUGAUUGCUUGGCGUUUGGUAUUAGCAGAUAUCCGGAACUUCUGGGAAAUUAGGGUUCUCAUACUUUCCUAAUUUAAACGGAAAUCGACAGUGCAAAAUUCGGUUCCCACAAACACUUGAUCAGAACUAUCAAGAGAAAGUCUUUCAAACACAAGACAGUCCCGUCGAGAUAUUAAUUUACUCAUUCAUUUUAAUUUUUGAUUCUGGUCGAACCAACUCCAAUCUGAUCGAGCGGGAUUUUUCUCGACCAAAUCCUAUCCACUUGUGAGGGUCUUUACAACGAAUGCAGGCGGUGGUGGCAUGUAGGUCGUUUUUUUGAGGUCUUGUCCACUUCAUAAGAUAUAUAAAAUGUCAGGUGUAAAAUCAUCUAUAUAAUAACACAAUUAAUCAGAGUUAAAAAUAUAUAUGUUUAGAUUUCAACUGUUUCGUUAUUUAUAGCAUUUCCUUAUAUAAACCAAAUUCUUAUUUCUUGAUUUUUACCCAAAAUAUGUAUAUUAUGAAUUAUAUAUAUUUUAUAAAUUUUAUUCUAUUUUUGGAUGGGAAAAUAAACAUUUGGUAAAAGUGCGCGAGUCUAGUGCAUUACAUAUCAAAUAAGUAAAACAAAAAUCCAGUGCGCGAGUCUAGUGCAUUACAUAUUCCUUUAGUUUCGGUUAAGAUGUGGUUUCGCAUAAUUCCAGAUUUUUUUCAAAAAAAAAGUAAAACAAAAAUCUGGAAUUAUGCGAAACGACAUCUUAACCGAAACUAAAGGAGGUAAAUAGCUUUAAAUCGAUAUUUUAUCGCAUGGGAUACACUCCACUUCUUAAAUAUACAUAUACAUAUACAUAUACUUUCUUGUUUCCUUUUAUUCUUGAAACAAAAAUCAGCUUUAUGAUAAAAGAAUCACAGUCAAUUAAUUUAUAUCGUUUAGGAUGAAAAAAACAUUUAUAUUAACCAGCGGGGUUAGCCUAGUGGUAUUUGAGGGAGCUUCGGUCCCGAUACGGUCCCGGGUUCGAUUCCCACUGGCCACACGGAUAUGAGCUAUGCUUUCGGCUCAUUUGAAUGCCCAGGAGAGGGUCUAUCCGUGGGCUGUACCUCCACCCGGGGGUUAGGUCUGUGUCUUUAAUAGACCCGGGUUUAACCCUUUUUUUUAUCAAAAAAAAAAAAAAAAAAAAACAUUUAUAUUUUCGUUUAAUGUUCCGAGUAUUGUCGUCAUUCUUGUACUAGGUUUGUGUUUAUGAUUUUGUAAUAUAUUACAUUUGUUCCUAACAUAAACAAAUUGGAAUUAAGUUAAAAAAAAAAAAAAAAAAUUGGAAUUUUUAUUUCUGUUUUUCUUCUUCACUGCAGCAUGUUACUUUAGUAAUUAAUAAACUCAGUUGUUAUAGAUAUUUUGUUAUAGUUCAUUUUCACUGAAAUUGCAUAAUAUCGGAUUGAUUUCAUAUAUAAAAUGUCCAUACUAGACCUAUAAAUUUGAACUACCGUAGUUUUGUAGUAGAUCUAUGGAACCGAUUUCCAAAAGGCCUUUUAUGUUAUUUCUUCACCUUUUUUUCUUAUUUAUCAGUACAUAUACGGUCAUGUAUUAUGAAUUCUUAAUUGAUUCAACAAACUCUUUUUCAUCAAUAAUUCAGUUUGUCCCGAGUAAAUUAAUAUGUAAAGCUAUAAAAUUUUUGUGUAAGAAAUAACAAUGAUCCAUCAUUUUACAUGUAAAUUAACAUGAUAUGUUUAGAUUAUCUUUAUAUCAGAUUAUUUACAAUUUUUGUAUGUCUAAAAGUUAAUCAGUGAGUUUUAGAAAUAUAUAAUUAUUACUUUGAAUAUUUUAAUAAUAUGUAAAAAAUUAUCGAAAACAUUUACUUUCACAUCCAAAGAAUACUGUUAUUUUUAUUACAUAAUCCGAGAUUUAUAUAUUUUAUACAUAACAGUAGCCGGGACAAUGGGGAAUAUAAGGCAGGAGAGUCAAAAAGAAAUGCAUUUGUGUAUGGUAAUUCUAAAUAACCAAAAACCUGGAAAAUGUGCGAAGGCAGAUUGUUUAUCUACGUGUAAGAAGCAGACGCAA